rnacentral:rRNA from 1 species
UUAUAGUUUGCAACCCCGAAACUGGGCGAGCUACUCCGAGCCAGCCCGUAAAUGUAAAUUAAAGGGGGCCAACCCGUCUCUGUGGCAAAAGAGUGGGAAGAGCUCCGAGUAGAGGUGACAAAUCUAUCGAGCCCAGUAAUAGCUGGUUGCCUGAGAAAUGAAUAGGAGUUCAGCCCUUUAGACUUUCCCACAUCACAAAUGCUCCCGCUAAUAAUAGAUAAAGGAAAAUAAAGGAGUUAAUCAAAAGGGGGACAGCCCUUUUGAUAUAAGAAACAACUUUAAUAGGUGGCCCAAGAUCAUAUUAACUAAGGAUUUCACACGAGGUGGGCCUAAGAGCAGCCAUCCCUAAAGAAUGCGUUCCAGCUCCAAUUACACGUCUUCCCUAUAUACUGAUAUUAAAUCUUCAUCCCUACCCACUACCAGGCUGUCUUAUGUUCCCCAUAAGAGUAAUAAUGCUAAAAUGAGUAAUAAGAAGAAACUAAUUCUUCUCCUUAGCACUAGUGUAAAUCGGAUCGGACCUACCACCGACUAUUACCCGACCCCAAACCAAGAGGGAAAUAAGAUGAACAAUCAAGGAAAACACUUAUAAUAAAUCGUUACCCCUACACAGGUGUGCAUUAAGGAAAGACUAAAAGAGACGGAAGGAACUCGGCAAACAAAAGCCUCGCCUGUUUACCAAAAACAUCGCCUCUUGCCCAAUAAGUAUAAGAGGUCUCGCCUGCCCUGUGACUAUUAGUUUAACGGCCGCGGUAUUUUAACCGUGCGAAGGUAGCGUAAUCACUUGUCUUUUAAAUGUGGACCUGUAUGAACGGCAUCACGAGGGCUUAACUGUCUCCCCUCUCCAGUCAAUGAAAUUAACCUCCCCGUGCAGAGGCGGGGAUAAGAAUAUAAGACGAGAAGACCCUGUGGAGCUUUAAACCUAAGACAAACCAUUCCUAGUAAGCUGUGAUACCAGUAUUAAGACUAGUGGUUUUUGUUGAAGUGUUUUUGGUUGGGGUGACCAUGGGGAAAAACACAACCCCCACGUGGACCGGGGAUAUUAUCCCUAACACUGAGAGCCCACACUCCAAGUAACAGAACUUCUGACCUUUAUGAUCCGGUAUUACCGAUCAACGGACCCAGUUACCCCAGGGAUAACAGCGCAAUCCCCUCUGAGAGCCCCUAUCGACGAGGGGGUUUACGACCUCGAUGUUGGAUCAGGACAUCCUAAUGGUGCAGCCGCUAUUAA